rnacentral:rRNA from 1 species
UACGAAGGGUGCAAACGUUGCUCGGAAUUAUUGGGCGUAAAGAGCGUGUAGGCGGCCAGGUAGGUCUGCUGUGAAAACUCGAGGCUUAACCUCGAGCUGUCGGCGGAAACCAUCUGGCUAGAGUCCGGAAGAGGAGAAUGGAAUUCCCGGUGUAGCGGUGAAAUGCGCAGAUAUCGGGAAGAACACCCGUGGCGAAGGCGGUUCUCUGGGACGGUACUGACGCUGAGACGCGAAAGCGUGGGGAGCGAACAGG